rnacentral:rRNA from 1 species
CAUCACUACGCUAGAUGCAUAUCAAUAAGCGGAGGAAAAGAAACUAACAAGGAUUCCCUCAGUAACGGCGAGUGAAGCGGGAAGAGCUCAAAUUUGAAAUCUUCAAGGUUCUACCUUGACGAAUUGUAGUUUAAAGAAGUGUUUUCUGUUGAAGUUUUGGUAAAAGUUCUUUGGAAUAGGACAUCAUAGAGGGUGAGAAUCCCGUAUUUGACCAUUAUUUCCAACUUUGUGAUACACUUUCAAAGAGUCGGAUUGUUUGGGAAUGCAGUCCAAAAUGGGUGGUAAAUUUCAUCUAAAGCUAAAUACUGGCGAGAGACCGAUAGCGAACAAGUACCGUGAGGGAAAGAUGAAAGGAACUUUGAAAAGAGAGUUAAACAGUACGUGAAAUUGUCAAAAGGGAAGCGUUUGACACCAGUGUUGUUUUUCUGAAAAUCAAUUAAGAAUGGCCGGAUUUUAAGUUUCAUGACCUUAAAAGCUUGUUUCUUAUUUUUCUUGUCUUUCUUAAUGCACUUUUCGGUUAACAAGUCAACAUCAAUUUCUUUUGUUGUAAAAGGUUAAGAGGAAGGUGGCUUUACUUUCGGGUAAAGUGUUUAUAGCCUUUUAACUCUGCAAUCGGAGAGAUUGAGGUCUGCAGCGUAGAUCCUUCGGGGCUAGAUACGUUUGUGCUAAGUUAUAGCUUUUCAUAGACAACUUGUUGACUAUGUUUAGUCUUGUAGCUUACUCGCAUGCGCUAUUUUACCUACGCUUAGGAUGUUGACGAGACUGUCGAUCUC